AGAACGUAGCGAAAUGCGAUAAGUAAUGUGAAUUGCAGAAUUCAGUGAAUCAUCGAAUCUUUGAACGCACAUUGCGCCCGCCAGUAUUCUGGCGGGCAUGCCUGUCCGAGCGUCAUUUCAACCCUCGAACCCCUCCGGGGGGUCGGCGUUGGGGAUCGGCCCUGCCUUUGGCGGUGGCCGUCUCCGAAAUACAGUGGCGGUCUCGCCGCAGCCUCUCCUGCGCAGUAGUUUGCACACUCGCAUCGGGAGCGCGGCGCGUCCACAGCCGUUAAACACCCAACUUCUGAAAUGUUGACCUCGGAUCAGGUAGGAAUACCCGCUGAACUUAAGCAUAUCAAUAAGCGGAGGA
rnacentral:misc_RNA from 1 species